UCCCAUAUGGUCUAGUGGUCAGGAUUUGGCGCUCUCACUGCCAAGGAGCCGGGUUCAAUUCCCGGUGUGGGAA
rnacentral:tRNA from 1 species